rnacentral:rRNA from 1 species
GUGAGGAAUAUUGGACAAUGGAGGCAACUCUGAUCCAGCCAUGCCGCGUGAAGGACGAAGGCCCUAUGGGUCGUAAACUUCUUUUGUCAGGGAGCAAUAAGGGCCACGCGUGGUCCGACGAGAGUACCUGGCGAAUAAGCAUCGGCUAACUCCGUGCCAGCAGCCGCGGUAAUACGGAGGAUGCGAGCGUUAUCCGGAUUUAUUGGGUUUAAAGGGUGCGUAGGCGGACGAUUAAGUCAGCUGUGAAAUGCCCGCGCUUAACGCGGGAAGUGCAGUUGAUACUGGUUGUCUGGAGUGCCGUUGCCGUGGGGGGAAUGUGUAGUGUAGCGGUGAAAUGCAUAGAUAUUACACAGAACGCCGAUUGUGAAGACACCUCACGAAGCGGUAACUGACGCUGAGGCACGAAAGCGUGGGGAUCGAACAGG